UACUGGUUCCUGUAUGAUCACCAAAGUUAAGCAACAUUGAGCCUGGUCAGUAUCUAGAUGGGUGACUGCUUGGGAAUACUGGGCGCUGUAAG